rnacentral:rRNA from 1 species
AUUGAACGCUGGCGGCAGGCUUAACACAUGCAAGUCGAGCGAGCGGCGGACGGGUGAGUAAUGUCUGGGAAACUGCCUGAUGGAGGGGGAUAACUACUGGAAACGGUAGCUAAUACCGCAUACCAUCGGAUGUGCCCAGAUGGGAUUAGCUAGUAGGGGGGGUAAUGGUUCACCUAGGCGACGAUCCCUAGCUGGUUUGAGAGGAUGACCAGCCAAACUGGACCUGAGAACCGGUCCAGACUCCUACGGGAGGCAGCAGUGGGGAAUAGUGCACAAUGGGCGCAAGCCUGAUGCAGCCAUGCCGCGUGUAUGAAGAAGGCCUUCGGGUUGUAAAGUACUUUCAGCGAAGAGGCGUUACCCUCAGAAGAAGCACCGGCUAACUCCGUGCCAGCCGCCGCGGUAAUUC